rnacentral:sRNA from 1 species
UGAUACGGACCGGACUGUGGAUAAGUGC